AGAGUUGAUCUGGCUCAGAACGAACGCUGGCGGCAGGCUAACACAUGCAAGUCGAGCGCCCGCAAGGGGAGCGGCAGACGGGUGAGUAACGCGUGGGAACAUACCCUCCGGUUCGGAAUAACUCAGGGAAACUUGAGCUAAUACCGGAUACGGCUUAGCGGCGAAAGAUUCAUCGCCGGAGGAUUGGCCCGCGUCCGAUUAGCUAGUUGGUGUGGUAACGGCGCACCAAGGCGACGAUCGGUAGCUGGUCUGAGAGGAUGAUCAGCCACAUUGGGACUGAGACACGGCCCAAACUCCUACGGGAGGCAGCAGUGGGGAAUAUUGGACAAUGGGCGCAAGCCUGAUCCCAGCCAUGCCGCGUGAGUGAUGACGGCCUUAGGGUUGUAAAGCUCUUUCGCCAGGGACGAUAAUGACGGUACCUGGAUAAGAAGCCCCGGCUAACUUCGUGCCAGCCGCUGC
rnacentral:rRNA from 1 species